rnacentral:rRNA from 1 species
AUUGAACGCUGGCGGCAUGCCUUACACAUGCAAGUCGAACGGCAGCAUAGGAGCUUGCUCCUGAUGGCGAGUGGCGAACGGGUGAGUAAUAUAUCGGAACGUGCCCUAGAGUGGGGGAUAACUAGUCGAAAGACUAGCUAAUACCGCAUACGAUCUACGGAUGAAAGUGGGGGAUCGCAAGACCUCAUGCUCCUGGAGCGGCCGAUAUCUGAUUAGCUAGCUGGUGGGGUAAAAGCCUACCAAGGCAACGAUCAGUAGCUGGUCUGAGAGGACGAGCAGCCACACUGGGACUGAGACACGGCCCAGACUCCUACGGGAGGCAGCAGUGGGGAAUUUUGGACAAUGGGGCAACCCUGAUCCAGCAAUGCCGCGUGAGUGAAGAAGGCCUUCGGGUUGUAAAGCUCUUUUGUCAGGGAAGAAACGGUAGUAGCGAAUAACUACUACUAAUGACGGUACCUGAAGAAUAAGCACCGGCUAACUACGUGCCAGCCGCCGCAGUAA